AGCUCCCGACCCUCCGCCCGGCUCCACCUUGCCGGCCUGGACAGUCGUGCCCUCUGCCCUCUCUGCUCCCUCUCUGUCGGCGUCCGGCGCGCCUGUGCGACCUCGGCAUAGAUGAGGCAGGAAGAGCCUGGAUUUAUGUUUGAACUGAGUGUAACCUGGGUGUACGCGUUCCUGUGCUCAUUUGCAUGAACCAGUGCUUUGCACUUGCUUGGCUGAGCACUCAAGGCACUCGCCACGCUUCAAGGAAUGCGUUCUGAAGAGAUCACCAGCGAAGGAGUGGAGGAAGGUGCACAUGCCUUACAGAUGUAAAGACGUGCCUUUUAAUGAGUUCAUAUCUUGACCAGCAGAACUCAAAGCUCACAAAGAAGGGUGGACUUAAAGGAGUUGUAUCCAACGGACAACAUACAAGUUCCUGCCACUUCCACUUCACUCAGGUCAGCAGCUCGGUUAGAGGUUUCUGGUGGCUUGCGGGGCUUGGGACACUGAAACUGCAUGCUCUGCUGAGGUGCUCCAGUGAUGCCAAGUAAGGAUCUGGUCCUUCAUCCAGGAAGAGUGGCCUUUCUAAGUUCUCCAAGAAGAAAAAGAAAGAAAGAAAGACAGCAAGCAAGCAAGCAAGCAAGGCAAGCCUGGCCUUUUUAUGAACUUUAAGCUAAAUAAAAUCUGACUGGAAGAUGGGAUUAUUUUUAAAAGAAAGAAAUGAGUGCCUAGUGAUAUUGGUUGGACUUAUUUUAGUACUUUUGGGAGGGAAUUUUCUGCCUGUCUCUACACUAGCUGUUAAUGUCUCUGAACCUCAGUUUUCUUGGCUGUAAAAUAAAGAGGA